CUGGGUGUAGCAAACGGUUAAGCACUUGGCUGCUAACCAAAAGAUUGCUGGUUCAAAUCCACCCAGA
rnacentral:tRNA from 1 species